rnacentral:rRNA from 1 species
GAUGAACGCUGGCGGCGUGCCUAAUACAUGCAAGUCGAGCGAGCAGAUAAGGAGCUUGCUCCUUUGACGUUAGCGGCGGACGGGUGAGUAACACGUGGGUAACCUACCUAUAAGACUGGAAUAACUCCGGGAAACCGGGGCUAAUGCAGGAUAACAUGUUGAACCGCAUGGUUCUACAGUGAAAGGCGGCUUUGCUGUCACUUAUAGAUGGACCCGCGCCGUAUUAGCUAGUUGGUGAGGUAACGGCUCACCAAGGCAACGAUACGUAGCCGACCUGAGAGGGUGAUCGGCCACACUGGAACUGAGACACGGUCCAGACUCCUACGGGAGGCAGCAGUAGGGAAUCUUCCGCAAUGGGCGAAAGCCUGACGGAGCAACGCCGCGUGAGUGAUGAAGGUCUUCGGAUCGUAAAACUCUGUUAUUAGGGAAGAACAAAUGCGUAAGUAACUGUGCGCGUCUUGACGGUACCUAAUCAGAAAGCCACGGCUAACUACGUG